rnacentral:rRNA from 1 species
CCUACGUCGUGCAGCAGUGGGGAAUAUUGGACAAUGGGCGAAAGCCUGAUCCAGCCAUGCCGCGUGUGUGAAGAAGGCCUUCGGGUUGUAAAGCACUUUCAGUGGGGAAGAAAGCCUUGGGGCUAAUACCCUCGAGGAAGGACAUCACCCACAGAAGAAGCACCGGCUAACUCCGUGCCAGCAGCCGCGGUAAUACGGAGGGUGCGAGCGUUAAUCGGAAUUACUGGGCGUAAAGCGCGCGUAGGCGGUCUGAUAAGCCGGUUGUGAAAGCCCCGGGCUCAACCUGGGAACGGCAUCCGGAACUGUCAGGCUAGAGUGCAGGAGAGGAAGGUAGAAUUCCCGGUGUAGCGGUGAAAUGCGUAGAGAUCGGGAGGAAUACCAGUGGCGAAGGCGGCCUUCUGGACUGACACUGACGCUGAGGUGCGAAAGCGUGGGUAGCAAACAGGAUUAGAUACCCGUGUAGUC